AACGCUGGCGGCGUGCUUAACACAUGCAAGUCGAACGGAAAGGCCCUGCUUGCAGGGUACUCGAGUGGCGAACGGGUGAGUAACACGUGGGUGAUCUGCCCUGCACUUCGGGAUAAGCCUGGGAAACUGGGUCUAAUACCGGAUAGGAGCCAUUUUUAGUGUGAUGGUUGGAAAGUUUUUUCGGUGUAGGAUGAGCUCGCGGCCUAUCAGCUUGUUGGUGGGGUAAUGGCCUACCAAGGCGGCGACGGGUAGCCGGCCUGAGAGGGUGGACGGCCACAUUGGGACUGAGAUACGGCCCAGACUCCUACGGGAGGCAGCAGUGGGGAAUAUUGCACAAUGGGCGCAAGCCUGAUGCAGCGACGCCGCGUGGGGGAUGACGGCCUUCGGGUUGUAAACUCCUUUCGCUAGGGACGAAGCUUUUUGUGACGGUACCUAGAUAAGAAGCACCGGCU
rnacentral:rRNA from 1 species